UACGUAGGGUGCAAGCGUUGUCCGGAAUUAUUGGGCGUAAAGAGCUUGUAGGCGGUUUGUCGCGUCUGCUGUGAAAACCCGAGGCUCAACCUCGGGCCUGCAGUCGAUACGGGCAGACUAGAGUUCGGUAGGGGAGACUGGAAUUCCUGGUGUAGCGGUGAAAUGCGCAGAUAUCAGGAGGAACACCGGUGGCGAAGGCGGGUCUCUGGGCCGAAACUGACGCUGAGGAGCGAAAGCGUGGGGAGCGAACAGG
rnacentral:rRNA from 1 species